UACGUAGGGGGCGAGCGUUGUCCGGAUUUAUUGGGCGUAAAGAGCUCGUAGGCGGCUUGGCAAGUCUGGUGUGAAACCUCCAGGCUCAACCUGGAGACGCCACUCGAUACUGCUAUGGCUAGGGUCCGGUAGGGGACCACGGAAUUCCUGGUGUAGCGGUGAAAUGCGCAGAUAUCAGGAGGAACACCGGUGGCGAAGGCGGUGGUCUGGGCCGGCACUGACGCUGAGGAGCGAAAGCGUGGGUAGCAAACAGG
rnacentral:rRNA from 1 species